UACGAAGGGUGCAAGCGUUACUCGGAAUUACUGGGCGUAAAGCGUGCGCAGGCGGUUCGUUGUGUCUGUGGUGAAAGCCCCGGGCUUAACCUGGGAAUGGCCAUGGAAACUGGCGAGCUGGAGUGUGGCAGAGGGGGGUGGAAUUCCGCGUGUAGCAGUGAAAUGCGUAGAGAUGCGGAGGAACACCGAUGGCGAAGGCAGCCCCCUGGGUUGACACUGACGCUCAGGCACGAAAGCGUGGGGAGCAAACAGG
rnacentral:rRNA from 1 species